rnacentral:rRNA from 1 species
GACGUAGGGCGCGAGCGUUGUCCGGAUUUAUUGGGCCUAAAGCAUCCGUAGCCGGUUCUACAAGUCUUCCGUUAAAUCCACCUGCUUAACAGAUGGGCUGCGGAAGAUACUAUAGAGCUAGGAGGCGGGAGAGGCAAGCGGUACUCGAUGGGUAGGGGUAAAAUCCGUUGAUCCAUUGAAGAACACCAGUGGCGAAGGCGGCUUGCCAGAACGCGCUCGACGGUGAGGGAUGAAAGCUGGGGGAGCAAACAGG